AGCAGAGAGGCUUAAUAGAAAGAGCACAGGCUUGGGACUCUUGAGGUCGUGGCUUCUAACCCUUCCUCUGCCA
rnacentral:tRNA from 1 species